rnacentral:rRNA from 1 species
AGAGUUUGAUCCUGGCUCAGAUUGAACGCUGGCGGCAGGCCUAACACAUGCAAGUCGAGCGGUAGCACAGAGAGCUUGCUCUCGGGUGACGAGCGGCGGACGGGUGAGUAAUGUCUGGGAAACUGCCUGAUGGAGGGGGAUAACUACUGGAAACGGUAGCUAAUACCGCAUAAUGUCGCAAGACCAAAGUGGGGGACCUUCGGGCCUCAUGCCAUCAGAUGUGCCCAGAUGGGAUUAGCUAGUAGGUGGGGUAACGGCUCACCUAGGCGACGAUCCCUAGCUGGUCUGAGAGGAUGACCAGCCACACUGGAACUGAGACACGGUCCAGACUCCUACGGGAGGCAGCAGUGGGGAAUAUUGCACAAUGGGCGCAAGCCUGAUGCAGCCAUGCCGCGUGUGUGAAGAAGGCCUUCGGGUUGUAAAGCACUUUCAGCGGGGAGGAAGGCGGUGAGGUUAAUAACCUCAUCGAUUGACGUUACCCGCAGAAGAAGCACCGGCUAACUCCGUGCCAGCAGCCGCGGUAAUACGGAGGGUGCAAGCGUUAAUCGGAAUUACUGGGCGUAAAGCGCACGCAGGCGGUCUGUCAAGUCGGAUGUGAAAUCCCCGGGCUUAACCUGGGAACUGCAUUCGAAACUGGCAGGCUAGAGUCUUGUAGAGGGGGGUAGAAUUCCAGGUGUAGCGGUGAAAUGCGUAGAGAUCUGGAGGAAUACCGGUGGCGAAGGCGGCCCCCUGGACAAAGACUGACGCUCAGGUGCGAAAGCGUGGGGAGCAAACAGGAUUAGAUACCCUGGUAGUCCACGCCGUAAACGAUGUCGAUUUGGAGGUUGUGCCCUUGAGGCGUGGCUUCCGGAGCUAACGCGUUAAAUCGACCGCCUGGGGAGUACGGCCGCAAGGUUAAAACUCAAAUGAAUUGACGGGGGCCCGCACAAGCGGUGGAGCAUGUGGUUUAAUUCGAUGCAACGCGAAGAACCUUACCUGGUCUUGACAUCCACAGAACUUUCCAGAGAUGGAUUGGUGCCUUCGGGAACUGUGAGACAGGUGCUGCAUGGCUGCCGUCAGCUCGUGUUGUGAAAUGUUGGGUUAAGUCCCGCAACGAGCGCAACCCUUAUCCUUUGUUGCCAGCGGUCCGGCCGGGAACUCAAAGGAGACUGCCAGUGAUAAACUGGAGGAAGGUGGGGAUGACGUCAAGUCAUCAUGGCCCUUACGACCAGGGCUACACACGUGCUACAAUGGCAUAUACAAAGAGAAGCGACCUCGCGAGAGCAAGCGGACCUCAUAAAGUAUGUCGUAGUCCGGAUUGGAGUCUGCAACUCGACUCCAUGAAGUCGGAAUCGCUAGUAAUCGUAGAUCAGAAUGCUACGGUGAAUACGUUCCCGGGCCUUGUACACACCGCCCGUCACACCAUGUGAGUGGGUUGCAA